AGCGACUUAUAUUCUGUAGCAAGGUUAACCGUAUAGGGGAGCCGCAGGGAAACCGAGUCUUAACUGGGCGUUAAGUUGCAGGGUAUAGACCCGAAACCCGGUGAUCUAGCCAUGGGCAGGUUGAAGGUUGGGUAACACUAACUGGAGGACCGAACCGACUAAUGUUGAAAAAUUAGCGGAUGACUUGUGGCUGGGGGUGAAAGGCCAAUCAAACCGGGAGAUAGCUGGUUCUCCCCGAAAGCUAUUUAGGUAGCGCCUCGUGAACUCAUCUUCGGGGGUAGAGCACUGUUUCGGCUAGGGGGUCAUCCCGACUUACCAACCCGAUGCAAACUACGAAUACCGAAGAAUGUUAUCACGGGAGACACACGGCGGGUGCUAACGUCCGUCGUGAAGAGGGAAACAACCCAGACCGCCAGCUAAGGUCCCAAAGUCAUGGUUAAGUGGGAAACGAUGUGGGAAGGCACAGACAGCCAGGAUGUUGGCUUAGAAGCAGCCAUCAUUUAAAGAAAGCGUAAUAGCUCACUGGUCGAGUCGGCCUGCGCGGAAGAUGUAACGGGGCUAAACCAUGCACCGAAGCUGCGGCAGCGACACUAUGUGUUGUUGGGUAGGGGAGCGUUCUGUAAGCCUGCGAAGGUGUGCUGUGAGGCAUGCUGGAGGUAUCAGAAGUGCGAAUGCUGACAUAAGUAACGAUAAAGCGGGUGAAAA
rnacentral:rRNA from 1 species